AGAAGCCAUGGGUGAGACAACACAGAACUGAAUUUCAGUGACAUUUUUGGCAGCAAACAUUCCCAAAGAAGGAGCAGCGAGAAAGAAACCUCAGGAUGGGAAUUAAGAUAAGGAGCCGAGACCUGUAGGAAGUGCGGGAGUCAUCCACACAAAUGCCUGAGGAGAGGCAAAGGGAAACAGAGGAGCUAUGCACUUGUUGGAAACC
rnacentral:lncRNA from 1 species